AGCACUUGGGGCCCCUGCUCACAUUUCUACACCCAUUGUCCAGAGAGAAAGUCAGCAGCACUUUUAGGCUUUCACUAACAUCACUCACAUACCUGGACAAAAACAAAAUCACAUCUAUGAAUUUAAAGGACUUUUCCGCUAACAUCUGAGCUUCAGAUUUAACGCUGAGGAGUAAGACAGAAGAAGAAGCUGGCCAUCUGACAAAGGAAUUAAAACCAACCAUAACAACCAAGAUGGAAACACUUGAUCCUUCAACUCUAUCAGAUGUCACUUCUACUGUUGCCUACGACCCUAAAUCUGAGACAGUGACCUUACCAGGAGGGGUUGUCUCGGUUGCGGGCGUCACUAUGGUGACUGGGGGUGUUGAGCUGUCUUGUGGAUCCUGUAUGCUGGCUUUUGGUUUUUGGGGAACUCUCAUCGGCUUCAGUUGUGUAGCAGUGGGGCUGUGGGACCAACUGAACCACUCUGAAGGAGGAACCUCUCACUUACUGGGACUGGGAUUUGUAAUUCUGGCCCUCUGUUUCGUGGUGGUGGGAAGUGUGGUGGCAUUUCACCUCCUGACAAAGAAGAAGAGAGAGAUGACAAGAGGGGACAGAGAGGAUGGAAAAGAAGUUCUUGUAGAGAGUGGGAGGGUAAUUAAAAAAGUCACAAUAUAAAGAAGAAUUAUUUACAGGAUAUAGCCUAAGAGAAAUUGGUGAAAAAUGUCGUACUAGGCAGAAAAAAAAACUAAGUUCCCUCCUGCUCUUCCCUUUAUAUUUUAAUCAAAAUUAUGUAGAAAUGCAACUCCUGUUUUCCAGUGAAACACAACAUAUUCCCUCAUAUCAACAGCUGUCUUAACUAGUUACUUUGAUGAUCAAGAUUGUACAAAACAUAUGAGCAGCGUAUACAUUUUGUUGUGUAUGAUUUGUUGCAUUGUUAUAGAUGAAAGUACCCAGCAGUAGCCUAUAUGAAGUAGUUAAAAUAUAAUACUGCCUGAUGCAUACUUUAUUUAUUUAACUUUAUUUUCUUUAUUUUCUACGUAAGUAAGAAUACAGGACAUUUACUUGUAGUGUUUUUAUAAUUAGGUAUUGCUACUUUUAUUCAAGUAACACUUGCACCAGUAGUACCACUGCCUACCAGUUUUUUCACUCAUUCCUGUAUUUUCUUUCGUUCUCACAACUGGUAAUUUAAAUGUAGCAUGGAAAACUCCCU